AUAAUGCAACCGGCAGCCCGUGACAAUCUGUCAAUCCAAACUUGUAAAAAAAGAAAAAAGCUGUGCAAAAUUUGCAAAUUUGUUCUAAGGUUUUAGUUAUUCAAAAUAUAGGUUAAUGAAGGAAUUCGGCUCGGAAUUCGGUAACCAAACCGCAUAAAAAAAUGACUAUCCAAAAUCGUCUAGUUCGGGAAGAAGAGAAGAUAUCCAGUUGCGUUAGAAACGAGGGCAUGUGGAAAAGCGGCCGGUGAUGGUUUCCGGAAGCUCAAAAAAUGCCAGUGCCAACAUCAAAACGGUACGGAAGGAGAAAAACUAUGCGGUUGAAAAGAAAAAUAAAGUGCAAAACAUUCAGGAGAAUGACGAUACAAAGGCCAUGAUUUGUGGAGAGAAGCUGCACCUGCCUCGUUUGCCCCUUAGCAGGCUCUGCUGUCCAUGGACACUCUGGAUAAACUCAAUUUUAUUCGGAUCUUUCGGAUUGAUUAAGUUGUAAGGAUCUACGCUGUGAUCUCAGUACUGUUCUCGGCUGAAGGAAAAAAAUCCAAAGCAUCUUUAGAUAAUAGGAAGUCGUAUCAACUGAUUAUAUAUAAGAUCAAUAAGAAGUUUUCGAAUUAGCAUAAGGAAUACAAUCAACUGGAUGUGAGGAAAGUAUUGAAAGAGUGGCUUAAGCCGCAUCCUGUUGAGCUUAAAAAGCGGGCUUUGUAUAAAGCAGCAGCUGAAUGAUGGAAUGAUUAUUCGGGUCAAUGAAUAAGAGGACCAACAAACGUGAUUCCAACCGAAUUCAACAAUGCCUCAGCAGAUGAAAGGUAUACUGUCAGGAUCGAGGUCAGGAUGGAGCGGACAAAACGGCCAUUACUACCGUCUGUUGAAUGGAUUGACGUCAGAAUGUGCGUUGGCGGGAAUCGAUGGCCUGAAGGUACCGAGUCAAGCAGGAGAAAAUGUGG